UUCUAUUUUCUUCUCUGUUUUUUCCUCUCCUUCCCUUUGUCGUUUUCAUUUUUUUCUCUGGAUUGAGCUUGAAUCUCUCGAGAAGAUUUCAUAUAAAUCUUGCAGUCGCUGAAUAUAAGAAGUAGGUGUUGAUGCUAUGGUUAUUUGAGCUCCGAAAGAAGAAGAUAACACUGUUGCUGUAAAUCGAGGUUAUGGUUUUUGUUUCUGAGAUGAAGAAAUUAAGAUCAGUUGAUGGUUCAGAUGAGAACUUGUUGAUCUAUGAUGGUGGUGUUUAGUCUAGUAUGGUUUCAAUUCAGAAAGUUGAGGAAAAGGGUAAACUAGGGUUUCAUAAUUGAAUCAUUAUUUGGUAUGGAAUUAAUCUAUUUUGAUCGAUUAGUGUUGGGUUUAAUUCUAAUUUGGUUGAAAUGGUUAUAUGAAGUUCAAUUUAGAUUUCAGUGGAAAUUAGGGCUUUGUUGUUUUUCCCCAAAUUAAGAACUAAGAUUCUUCUUUUGAGGUAUUUGAAUAAGAGGAAAAUUAAAGGAUGGGUUUGAUAUAUUUGAUGGUUUGAUUGAUGUUUGAGUUUGAAUUAGAGAAGAGAAUAGUUGGGAUAAUUGAACUAAGGCCUGGGUUGGUUAUAGAAUGAAGUUUGGCUGUUUUUUUUAAUUUACAGAGAAUUGUCUUAUGUUGUGUUAGUAGUUGAUUGUUGAGGUCUUGAUUAAGUGGAAAGACCAGUUAGAGUUGUAAGAUUAAUUGAAGUGUUAUUGGUUGAUUCAAGUUGUUGCUGAGAUGAGUUGAUUGAGCUUAUUUGAAUUGGCAUCUUGAAAUUUUAGAGUUGAAGUAAUGAAUGACUGUGGCUUGAGUCGAGUUGUUUGCGAUUCUGCCUAACUGAUUGUAUUGAGUUGUGGGUGUAUACCAGAUAUGAGUCUCUUGUUACUGUGGCAGUGUAAAUGGUGGCGACUGGAACAUUGAAUGCAAAGAUUGUUCUGGAUUUGCAGUUGUAGAUGAUUGUACUGAAUUACAAGUAGUGAUGGUAUUAUAUUGAAGUUGUAGUUAACCUGAAUCUGGUGGUGAUUCAGUUUAGUGGAUGUGUUGCUAAAAGCUGCAACUGCAGGAUGAACCAGUGGAUCGUGGAUCUCGAGGUAGGCGUGGCUUGUCAUCAAAAGAGUUUCAGAGACAGAUCAGAGUUGCGCAGCGAAAGCUUUGAGGAAUUGAGUCCGUUAGUUGGUUGACUUUUACUAUAUUUAUUAUAUUACAUGUUGUAUUUGUAAACCAAAUGACCAUUGUAUAUGUAUCAUUUGAGAGGAGUUUUUGUAUAUAUAUAUUUCUGAGCGGGCAAGUUUUAGGUUAAGUUUUGUAGCAGAUUUCUUAAUUGAAUGUUUAAGUAAUUGAUUUAGAUUUUAAUGUCUUUUA